rnacentral:lncRNA from 1 species
GAGGCCAAUGGCUUCUGAUCCCUUCAUGAUCCGAAGGCGCUUGCACGAUUCGACGAACAUCCUGAAAUGAAAUGGAAUUUCCAGAAUAACCAGGAAGCUUAGAGGCGAACACAUCACAGAAUUUUCAGAACAGGGAAGAAUUAAUGCAUGGAUGGAGAAGUAGUUUAGUGCUUACUCCCAUGGGACGUCGCCGACGAGCAUCCAGUCGCCGUCCUUGUCCUCGUAGGUUGGCACGUACUCGGAGCCGUUGAGCAGAUCCACCAGCUUGCUCUCGUUCAUGCCGUUCAUCCCUUGAGACCCACAGCUUCCUGAAUCAUCAUCGCAAGACAGAAAAAAAAAGAAUCACAAAUUAAAUACUGAUGAUCUGUAACUGCAACCAACUGACGAGUCUACACUUUGGACACUAAAUUUUAUUGCAACUAUUAAUGGUUUUUCAGGGAAGAGAAAUCUGUGGUUGUUGCUGAGCCGCAUCAUAAGUGUCUAUUUGAUCCUUUUCUCUCUAAGAUAUAUGCACGCCGAUGAACACGUGGAUUAGUUUAGACAUGGAGGUCCAAGAACAGCACAUGGCAAUGAUGGGCCAACUGCUCCUGGAGAGCUAAACUACUGAAGCGUGCACACAUGAUCAUGAGCUACAUGUACAGCAGGCAGCUAGCAGCUAGAUGGCUGGAGAUGAGAAGAGAUUCUGGAUCAAUUGGUGAUCUGUGUGUUGGGAGGGACAAGGGCAUUAUGCCAGCCAGGGCAGACACCUACCGAGGAUGCAAAUCAUGGAGUGCACCACUGGCGAAACCACAUGGUGACCACCACCGCACAUGCGAAUGCCAAUGCAAUCAUACACCCAAAGUUCCAACCCAACCGUGCAAAAUUAUGGAGUGCAUUGGUGAUCAUAAGUUACUUUCCUGUAUGUGUAGAGUUUCAUUCAUGAGCCAACAACAUUGUUCGCGUAGAAAUAAGUAAGCUGGCGAGAAAAGGCGGGCAAUACAUGAUACUUCAACAUGUCGCAUAAACAAGAAAGAUUUACUUACUUUAAUGUAUUUUCUAGCAAAGACCAUGUUAUGGUUUGGUACUCUUUUUUUAUGGUGAACUUUGGAAAAAAGAAGAGAAAAUGAAUGAAUCCAUGCAUGAUGAGUACUGAUGUGGUAUGUACCAAUGGUGAAGGAGCUGAACAUCUUCUCGAGCGCCUUGGACAGCUCCUGGUAGCUCUUGUACAUCUUGAGGUCAACCUUGCGCAGGUACGGCGCGCCGUCCAAGCUCACCUUCACGAAAGCGGCGCCGCCGCUGGCUGCCGGCGAGGACUUGUCGCCGUCGGCGGCGUCCUUGCUGCCGGCGCCCUUCUCGGACUGCACGGACAUGAUGUUCUUCCGGAACGAGCGCACCGGCGGCCAUCCAACCACCUGAGCCCUGCACGCAGCCAAAUUACCAAGUGAACAUCUGCUUAAUUUCUGUCAAAAACAACGCUAAUAACUUUGUCAUGGAGGUUAAAAUCUUAAAACACACACUGACACGCACUAGAUUCCCAGUCCAUUAAUCUACUGCAAAUUGCAUAUGCAACCGAAAUAUUCUCUCCCUUUUUGCCUUCUACUUUUCACUGCACCCAUUUUGUUUUCUACUUUGGAGCAAACAUUUACAUGUGUAUAGAACUAUAGAUCAUCAGCUCAUCCAGUGGUCCAUGGUACUAUUGGGAGGAGAGGUGUCAAUUGUUUUCAUGGAAAAGGGGGAACCUUUUGUAGGGGCACAUGGAGUGUGUACUACCACCUUCCAAUUUGCUACCUUUCUCCCUUUUAAAAAAAAAUCUUAAACGUGUUCAUGUAAAAUUUGUACAUUUAAUAUUUUCACAUAGAUGUAUAUAGUUCUGAAAUUAAUAUACCGUCCUUAAUCACUUUGUUACUCAACACAUAUAUUUGAAAAAUGGUAACAUAAAAUAUAUUUGAAAAAUGAUAAUAACAAAGAAAGGGGCACGAGUCAGGCAGAUCUAGAAUGGUGAUCCGUGAACGGUGAACCCAAUGUAGCUUAGGACCAUGCUGCAUGGAUGUAUAGUCCUUGGCAGGCAAUGCAAGGGCAGUAUGGGCAAUAAAAUAACAAAAGAAAACUUUGUUUCUACCGUGCCAUCAAUUCUAAGCCUCGACCGAUCAGGAUCAACAGGCGAGUGAUGUGGAAAAUGAUGUUGAUGUGGACAAAAAUGACACUGUGCCAGAAAGAGAGAGAGAGAGAGAAACUAAAGAGAGAAAGGCAGGCGUGGCUUUCUUUUAUCGUGUCGGCACUAGGCGCUGUCUCCCGGUGCCCCACACGUAACAUGCCGCUGUCCCUCGCUCCUAGUUCAUGUCCAGCCGGUGCAUCGUGUUCUUCGAUCAACUAUAAACAAAUCUGCCCUAGAUCCAGCUAGUUUUCCCCCUCUAAAUUUCCAUGCAAAGUUUGUGUUUUUUUGCUGUGCAAAGAUCUUUAGAGUUUGCUAGCUCUUGAUGCAUUUUUAGAGCAUCACUAGACUACUGCAUGUUUUUGUUUUAGAUCUCAGCAAAUGGAGCAUCUACUGUUUCAAAAGUUUGAUUUUUGCACGAUUUGUAACUAUAACAAAUGUCUAUUAUCUUUUCUCGUAAAGGUUGAAGCAUUUCCUUGUUCAAGGACAUGAAAAAUGUUUGCAUUUACGACAUGGCCUUGCACGGACAUAUGAGACAAUCAUGACGGCAGAAAAAAGAGUCGUGUGAUGAUUCAGGCUGUUGCUUCAUGUAAUCCCCCAGAGAGAGUCUGGUUGACUACGAGAUUAUUAGCUAGGGUUAAAUUUGCUCAAAAGCUAGUUAGCUCUACAUCAUGGCAUGGAGAUCGUUAAGCUAAGCAUGCACGUACGGAGAUCAAGCAGGGAAGAAGGAAGCUAAGCUCGAGGAGUGAGUGAGUGACACGACGUACUUGGGGGCGCGCGGCUUCUCGGCGGGGUCGGGCUGGGCGGCGGCGGUGACGACGCUGCUCUGGCUUGGGGACCUCUUCAUCUUCCCGGCAGGCGAGGACUCCUCCGCCGCCGCAUCGACCUCCUCGUCCUCCGCCACGACGGCCGCGGCCGCCGGCUCCAGCUUCAGCUUGAGGUCGAUGGUCUCGGCGAAGCCCCUCUUGCCGGAGGCGCUCCUUGUCCCCUCGCCGUCUCCCCCUCCGCCGCCUCCGCCGCCGCCGGGCAGGCCUAGCCG